UACAGAGGUCUCAAGCGUUGUUCGGAAUUACUGGGCGUAAAGCGUGCGCAGGCGGUUUUGUAAGCCAGAUGUGAAAUCCCCGGGCUUAACCUGGGAAUGGCAUUUGGGACUGCAAGGCUCGAGUGCGGCAGAGGAGACUGGAAUUCCUGGUGUAGCAGUGAAAUGCGUAGAUAUCAGGAGGAACACCGAUGGCGAAGGCAGGUCUCUGGGCUGACACUGACGCUCAUGCACGAAAGCGUGGGGAGCAAACAGG
rnacentral:rRNA from 1 species